ensembl:lncRNA
GCAUUAUUCCAGUUUCAUCAACCUCGUUUUAAUUAACCUCUUUGAAUUAUUAACCACACGUUAUUAUCAAAUGAAGCAAAUAAUUGAGGCGCUGACUCAAUUUGUAAUUUGACGAUUUUCUACCUUUUUAAUUCACGUGUUUCCCACUUUGAAACCAAGGAAAAACAUUUUUCAGUAAUGAACAUGGACUGCUGAGACGAGAGGGAGCCGGAAUAACACUGUCUGUAGUCAGUGAACACAGACAGACUGGUCAGUCCCUUGAGGAGUCUCCAUCUGUGUGUGUGUGUCUUUCUCUCUCAGGAUGAGGUGAUAGGGCUCAGGGGAACUCUGUGCAGAAACUCUACAUGGCCCAGUAUGGGGAGAAGACAGGAAACUGCCUUUCAUUACAGUAUAGAGGCUUGCACAUGUGGGAGUGAUGUUGGAAUGACUCUUUCUUCCAGUCUGCAGGCAUCGCACCCGUCUACUGGUCUGCUAGGCAAAUCCUCUCCCAUCAAACUGCCUUGGGACCAGGAUUACUGAGAUUUUGAAAAGAGUAAAACAGAAUAUUCGAUGUGAAAAGCAUUCCACACCAUAAUGGAGCCAGACCUGAAUGUGACUUCACAAUGUCCCAUCCUGAAACGCCACCGGCUGCACCUUUUUAGACUUUUUGUCUGGGAUGUGGAAGCUGAAGAACAUCGAUGGCUCAGAACAUUAGGAGGAGCUAAGUGCGUUUUCCAGGCAUGUUGAGCUAUGAUGAUUCUCAUAUGGGGGACAAAG